UUUUGAAUUAUUUACCCUUUUCCCCUAUUUAGUUUGAAUAUAGGUGUAAUAAUAAGAUGACUAUCCUUUUGUAAUUAAACUUUUGGACUUAUUCAUUCUGUAAUAACUGGACUUCAGAGACUGACUUAUUUGUAAUAAUCAGGACAUUCAAAUCAUGAAUAGCGGAUAGUAUAGUUCACUAAGUGAUUUAUUCGUUUUAGAUGUUAUUUACUGCGUGGCUUUAAAUGAAGGACUCAGAAAAUAUUAGCUUAAUAGCUAGUUGAAGUCCAAAUACUGUGUAAUGUUUUAAUCUGUCUAGAUUUCAACACGAUUAGCCAUGCUUGUUUUAGAUCUAUAGGCUGUGACCAAAGACAUAAUUGAAUUUUGAAGAACUAGAUUCAUGUACUCUGAUUGAUGAGUAUAUGAAUCAUUGGGUUCAGAUCCAAUGUUAAAAUUUAAAAAAAAAUGACUGUUAGUACUUUUUUUGGGAAUGUGUAUUUUCU
rnacentral:lncRNA from 1 species